GCUUUGGAAGCUGUGAAGGCCCGUGCUCCCAGCACAGAAAGCAGCCCCCGCUCGGCUCUUUCCUCUUGCGCCCMGUAUUUUAUUCUCCGGAAGACCACCCGGCUCCGGGAACUUCCCGUGCGCGACCCUGACGAUGGAAUAACUGGUACAAAAUCUCAUGGAGCUGGUCCUGUUUGAGGGAAUGGAAAUUCAGCAGCAAGGUUAAGUGGGCCUGAUGCACAACUUCAUGAAUUGGAUAUAUGCUGCUCUCUUUACCUGAAUGCAGAAAUCUGCUUGCAGGAAGUAACUUUGUCCAAUGGCAAGAGUGAUGUGAUGAAUAAAGCUCACCACUUUGUCUGUAUCAGUACAGAGAAGACCAUGGAAAAUGACCACCCUAUCCUUACCUAUGAAAAAUUUUGUUUUUAAAAUAUCCAAACAAGAAUGUGCUUUUAGCAAUUUUUUUUCCUUUGUAUUGAAUAAUCCAAGGGUAAUUCCGAGGUUGAAAGUGCAGCAGUGCUAAUUGGAAGUAUUCUCUCAGCAAAAAGUGCAUAGUAGAGAAUAAUAAACUCAAACUGGAAGUGGCAGAAUGAUUUCACUGAUAAUACUCAUGCACAUUUCAUUACCCUUUUUGACCUCUGGUCACUAGCAAAAUGUAAAACCUAUGAUUAAAAAUAAASAUUUUUAAUAUUAAAAAAAUGUUAUGUCUGUUGCUGACAAAAACUGAAAGAGAUGCAUUAUCUUCUGCUAACAACUUCUCACUUUUUCCCAGGGCUGCARUGUUAUUUAAAGAAUAUGGAAAUAAAACUCAUAUUUCUCUCUGUCU